rnacentral:rRNA from 1 species
GACGAACGCUGGCGGCGUGCUUAACACAUGCAAGUCGAACGGAAAGGCCCUGCUUUUGUGGGGUGGUCGAGUGGCGAACGGGUGAGUAACACGUGAGUAACCUGCCCUUGACUUUGGGAUAACUUCAGGAAACUGGGGCUAAUACCGGAUAGGAGCUCCUGCUGCAUGGUGGGGGUUGGAAAGUUUCGGCGGUUGGGGAUGGACUCGCGGCUUAUCAGCUUGUUGGUGGGGUAGUGGCUUACCAAGGCUUUGACGGGUAGCCGGCCUGAGAGGGUGACCGGCCACAUUGGGACUGAGAUACGGCCCAGACUCCUACGGGAGGCAGCAGUGGGGAAUAUUGCACAAUGGGUGGAAGCCUGAUGCAGCAACGCCGUGUGCGGGAUGACGGCCUUCGGGUUGUAAACCGCUUUCGCUCAUGACGAAGCUUUGUGUGACGGUAGUGGGUAAAGAAGCACCGGCUAACUACGUG